rnacentral:rRNA from 1 species
UACAGAGACUGCAAGCGUUAUUCGGAUUCACUGGGCGUAAAGGGUGCGCAGGCGGCCGGGUGUGUCAGAUGUGAAAUCCCGAGGCUCAACCUCGGAACUGCGUCUGAAACUACUCGGCUAGAGUACUGGAGAGGGUAACGGAAUUCACGGUGUAGCAGUGAAAUGCGUAGAUAUCGUGAGGAACACCAGAGGCGAAGGCGGUUACCUGGACAGUUACUGACGCUCAGGCACGAAAGCCAUGGGGAGCAAAAGGG